AAUAGAUACCCUGGUAGUCCACGCCGUAAACGAUGAGUGCUAAGUGUUAGGGGGUUUCCGCCCCUUAGUGCUGCAGCUAACGCAUUAAGCACUCCGCCUGGGGAGUACGGUCGCAAGACUGAAACUCAAAGGAAUUGACGGGGGCCCGCACAAGCGGUGGAGCAUGUGGUUUAAUUCGAAGCAACGCGAAGAACCUUACCAGGUCUUGACAUCCCAUUGACCACUAUGGAGACAUAGUUUUCCCUUCGGGGACAACGGUGACAGGUGGUGCAUGGUUGUCGUCAGCUCGUGUCGUGAGAUGUUGGGUUAAGUCCCGCAACGAGCGCAACCCUUGUUCUUAGUUGCUAUCAUUUAGUUGGGCACUCUAAGGAGACUGCCGGUGACAAACCGGGAGGAAGGUGGGGAUGACGUCAAAUCAUCAUGCCCCUUAUGACCUGGGCUACACACGUGCUACAAUGGACGGUACAAACGGUUGCCAACCCGCGAGGGGGAGCUAAUCCGAUAAAACCAUUCUCAGUUCGGAUUGUAGGCUGCAACUCGCCUAC
rnacentral:rRNA from 1 species